rnacentral:rRNA from 1 species
UACGAAGGGGGCUAGCGUUGUUCGGAAUUACUGGGCGUAAAGCGCACGUAGGCGGACUAUUAAGUCAGGGGUGAAAUCCCGGGGCUCAACCCCGGAACUGCCUUUGAUACUGGUAGUCUCGAGUCCGGAAGAGGUGAGUGGAAUUCCGAGUGUAGAGGUGAAAUUCGUAGAUAUUCGGAGGAACACCAGUGGCGAAGGCGGCUCACUGGUCCGGUACUGACGCUGAGACGCGAAAGCGUGGGGAGCGAACAGG